GGGGAAUUUUGCGCAAUGGGCGAAAGCCUGACGCAGCAACGCCGCGUGAGUGAUGAAGGCUUUCGGGUCGUAAAGCUCUGUCGAGGGGAAAGAAGUGUACGAGGGCUAAUAUUCUUUGUACUUGACGGUACCCCUAAAGGAAGCACCGGCUAACUCCGUGCCAGCAGCCGCGGUGAUACGGGGGGUGCAAGCGUUGUUCGGAAUUAUUGGGCGUAAAGCGCGUGUAGGCGGUCUGAUUAGUCUGAUGUGAAAGACCUGGGCUCAACCCAGGAAGUGCAUUGGAUACUGUCAGACUUGAAUACGGGAGAGGGUAGUGGAAUUCCUAGUGUAGGAGUGAAAUCCGUAGAUAUUAGGAGGAACACCGGUGGCGAAGGCGGCUACCUGGACCGAUAUUGACGCUGAGACGCGAAAGCGUGGGUAGCAAAC
rnacentral:rRNA from 1 species